GUGCAAGGCUGGUCGAAGGCUCUGGCAUUGCAAGCCUCGCUUCGUUGCCACUUCCCAGCUCUUCCCGCCUUCCGCGGUAUAAUCAACACUACGAGAGAUAGAGCCGCCUAGAACCAGGUCUCCAGAAAUGCUUUGGGUUCAUCUUUCAUUGCUGCAAGGAACUUCCAUGCCUCUAACACUCAUCUUCAGAAGACUGGGACUGCUGAGAUGUCCUCUAUUCUUGAAGAGCGUAUUCUUGGAGCUGAUACCUCUGUUGAUCUUGAAGAAACUGGGCGUGUCUUAAGUAUUGGUGAUGGUAUUGCCCGCGUACAUGGGCUGAGGAAUGUUCAAGCAGAAGAAAUGGUAGAGUUUUCUUCAGGCUUAAAGGGUAUGUCCUUGAACUUGGAACCUGACAAUGUUGGUGUUGUCGUGUUUGGAAAUGAUAAACUAAUUAAGGAAGGAGAUAUAGUGAAGAGGACAGGAGCCAUUGUGGACGUUCCAGUUGGUGAGGAGCUGUUGGGUCGUGUAGUUGAUGCCCUUGGUAAUGCUAUUGAUGGAAAGGUAGGUUUAAUGUUCGUUAGAUAUAGUUGCAGCUUCUAACAAACAUCAAAACUGAUUAUGCUUA
rnacentral:sRNA from 1 species